GCACUAACACCACCAUAUUUUCCCAUUAUGAUCCCCAAUUACAACCCUAAUUUCUAUUUCUUUCCUCUCUCAUUCCAAUUUCACUCAUCGGAUAUUAUAAUUCCCCACUCUUUUAAAAUUAACAUUGUCCUCGAGGUCGAUUAUGAGCUAUGAACUGGGGAAAUAUAUUAUGAAUAUAGCUCCAAUCUUCCCAUGUAGUAUUGUUUGCUGACAUGUCAGACCAGUGCACAAGCACUUUGACGGCUGCUACGUUAUUAACUCUGAUGAUGCACCGCUAUAAAAUUACAAGGGGUUCCACUAAGAUUCCACCUUCACUGUCAUAAGAAGAGGGUUGCUGCUGGGAAACUAUAGUAGGUCAGAUCCUACACAUCAACUGCAACACAUAAAAAAUAGGGUGGAUCUGAGACCUUGCUGGUAACUGCAAAUGGAAUUAAGUGUCCAUGUUUUCUUUUGGGAGGCAAUGAGGAGGACUCCAAGAACACAUCUCAAUAAGUAUCAAGGAUGGUUUGAAUAGCUACUGGUGUCACAUUGAAGGAUAUGUUUCUAAGGCGAUUAACAACUCAAUUAUUCAGUAAUCCACUACCAGGUGGUGCCCCAAGUAUCCUGUUUAUCUCCGAAAACAUUCUUUCCAUCAACAGAUCGUGCUUCUAGCCUAACUCAUCAAUUUUGCCAUCAUUGGUCACGGCUUUUUGGUUUGAUUCUGUGAUAUUCUGCAAUAAUUAUAAUUCAACCUUUUAUAUGGUCCUUCAUAGUUUUACCCUAGUUUUCACCAUUUUUAGAUAGGAUUUUUUCAAGACCGGUGCUCUAUUACCGCUGUAAUGUAACUGACCCGAUUGGAAUUGUGAAUUCGAAUUUAUAACAUAACAAAAUUUUAUUGAUAACAACCAACGAUUACAAUCAAUGAAUAUGGAAAUACUAAGAUAUACUCCACUGUGAAUCUGCAACUUCCACCAUGGCUACAUGUAGUAAAGAUUAGAAUGAAGUAAUGAAGGAGAAGAUAGAUUAGAAGAGUGAGAAGAAAGUUCUAGAAGAAUAGAUAAAGAGAAUUCUGAUCAAAUUCAUAACUGCCGAUCCCAAUUUCUGGUAAGGCUACUUAUAAAAUUUGUUGUACUAGUGCUGAGCUGGAGCUAAGAUGUUUUCCUUAAUAAUUGGGCUAAUCUCCACCAUUUUUUUAUUAUUAUUAUCUUCACUGUUCCUUGUAAAAUAUUUGCUGACCCCAUUUCUCAACUGUCACUCUAAUCUGCCAACACGUGUCCGCACUAACACCACCAUAUUUACCUACUGCGAUCCCCAAUUACAACCCUAAUUUCUAUUUAUUUCCUCUCUUAUUCUAAUUCUGCUCAUCAUCUAUAACAUAUUCAGAAGGAACUUACAGUAUUGGGAAAUCGAAGAAGUGGUCAAAUUGUUCACUAAGCUAGAAGGCCAGGUUAUAAAUGUCCAGGAAGCAAACAAGUUAAGGUGGGAUAGUGAUAAGGAUGGUAAAUACUCGGUAAAAGCAAGCUAUGUAAACUCAUUUGCUCCUAAUGGAGUGCUUGAUAACUAGCCAUGGAAGUUGAUAUAGAAGACAAAUCUCCCACCAAAGAUCAUAUGAUUCAUCUGGAUAGCUCUACAUAAAGCUUUCCUCACUCAAGAUAACCUUAAGGAAAUUUCAUAUUGCCAACAGAUGCUACAUGUGUCAUCAGAACAUUGAGUCCAACAAUUAUCUAUUUUUACAUUGUAAAGUUGUUCCUGGCUUGUGGAGUAUGUCUAUAUUUAAUAUUAGUUGGGUAAUGCCACAUAGCAUUGUCCAGUGUUGUAAAAGGUGAUCGCCACAUUUGGCGAGGCAUAGUCUCCUAUUAUCAUCGUGGCGAGGUAAAAUCCAAAAGGCAAUGCCUUUUUGAGAAAGGUGACAAGGUAAGCCGAUGAUAUCGUCACCUUUUGAAUUUUUUUAAAAAAAUUAGGGUUUUAGGGUUAAAAGUUAAUUCUAGGUCUUAUUUUCAUAUUUUGUCUAUACUAACUUACUCAUUGGCGACUGGGGCUGCUACGUACUCACAACUCACAAGUUUGACUUCAACUCCGGCGACCAGUGACACUACUUCAAUGACUCCCCCUACUCUAGUUCAGAGACACGAGCUCCAGAGCACCAUUAGUAUUCCAGUAUUAAUAGUUAAAGUUAGAAGUGAGUCCUUAUCAUCCGAGGACAUGAUCAUGAUGUUACUAUGUCAUUAAUUAAUGUAUUAGUUGGAGUAAGUUGGGGAUAUGUCCCAUCAACUCCUUAUUCAGACAGUCAUGUUUUAGAGUCUUUCCAGACUACAGUAUGUUCAGAUAGCUUAUGUUAGUUUUG